rnacentral:rRNA from 1 species
CCUGAGAAACGGCUACCACAUCUAAGGAAGGCAGCAGGCGCGUAACUUACCCACUCCCAGUUCAGGGAGGUAGUGACAAUAAAUACCUUACAGAGGUCUCGUUAACCGAGAUCUCUCAAACGGAAUGAGUACAACGUGAAUCCUUUAACGAGGAUCGACUGGAGGGCAAGCCUGGUGCCAGCAGCCGCGGUAAUUCCAGCUCCAGUAGCGUAUAUUAAAGCUGUUGCGGUUAAAAAGCUCGUAGUUGGAUAUCAGUGCGUGUCCGGUCCGGUAUGCCCGGCGGCGGCGCUCGCGCGUCACUGCUGGGCUCCCAAAUAUCGGCUGGCCGCAUUCAAUCGUGCCGGAUCCGUCGACGGGCCGUUCUACGGAGGGGCCUGUUGGCGACCGGCGAGGUUACCUUGAACAAAUUAGAGUGCUCAAAGCAGGCUCUGAAUGCCUGUAUACAUAUUCAUGGAAUUGGAGAAUACGUCCCUGGCUCGAUUUGGUUGGUUUUGAGAGUCGAAGGGAAAUGAUUAAUAGGGACUGACGGAGGCAUUCGUAUUGCGACGCGAGGGGUGAAAUCCUGUGACCGUCGCACGACGAACUACUGCGAAAGCAUUUGCCGAGAAUGUUUUCAUUAGUCAAGAACGAAAGUUAGAGGUUCGAAGGCGAUCAGAUACCGCCCUAGUUCUAACCGUAAACGAUGUCGACCAGCAAUCCGCAACGGUCACUACACGGACUGUGCGGGCAGCUUCCCCGGGGAAACCAGAGUGUAUGGACUCCGGGGGAAGUAUGGUUGCAAAGCUGAAACUUAAAGGAAUUGACGGAAGGGCACCACCAGGAGUGGAGCUUGCGGCUUAAUUUGACUCAACACGGGACAACUCACCAGGCCCGGACACCGUAAGGAUUGACAGACUGAUAGCUCUCUCUUGAUUCAGUGGGUGGUGGUGCAUGGCCGUUCUUAGUUGGUGGAGUGAUUUGUCUGGUUUAUUCCGAUAACGAACGAGACUCUGGCCUAUUAAAUUUGACACCGUCAGUCUCUUGUGACUGCGGUGAGCUUCUUAGAGGGAUCAUCGGCGUCCCAGCCGAAGGAAAGGGAGCAAUAACAGGUCUGUGAUGCCCUUAGAUGUUCUGGGCUGCACGCGUGUUACACUGAAGUGGUCAGCGCGCCGUUCAACGUCCCACUCCGUGAGGAGCGGGCAAACGUUUGAACCCUUUUCGUGAUGGGAAUUGGGGGUUGCAAUUGUCCCCCAUGAACGAGGAAUUCCAAGUAAGCGCAGGUCACUAGCCUGCGUUGAUUAAGUCCCUGCCCUUUGUACACACCGCCCGUCGCUACUACCGAUGGAUGAUUUGGUGAGAUCGCCUAGACUGGCAGCUGGCUUCGGCCGUGCUGCCGGGAAGACGCUCAAACUUGGUCGUCUAGAGGAAGUAAAAGUCGUAACAAGGUUUCC